UACGUAGGAGGCAAGCGUUGUCCGGAAUUACUGGGCGUAAAGCGCGUGUAGGUGGUGGGACAAGUCUGCUGUGAAAGCGCCUGGCUUAACCGGGCGAGGUCGGCGGAAACUGUCCGACUAGAGGACGGUAGAGGGGGGUGGAAUUCCCGGUGUAGUGGUGAAAUGCGUAGAGGUCGGGAGGAACACCAGUGGCGAAGGCGGUUGCCUGGAGCUUUGCUGACGCUGAGGCGCGAAAGCGUGGGGAGCAAACGGG
rnacentral:rRNA from 1 species